AAGAGAGCUCUUUCAAGACAGUGUGUUGUCUAAACUGUCAUGGAACUGCUCUCUUUA
rnacentral:pre_miRNA from 1 species